rnacentral:lncRNA from 1 species
UUUCACUGUGUCAAAAAAACAAAAAGCUCACUAUUCGCGUUCUCUCUCACUCUUCCUUCUCCUUCUCUUCGCUCAAUCUUCUUCAUCUUUCACUCUCUAUCACUGCACACUCAUUCAUCUUCCAAACCGUUCACUCUGAAUCCUUCAUCUUUCAAUUUUUCAAAUCGUUCACUCUUAAUCGAUCCAAUCUCGGCACAAUCGUUCAAAUCCCUAAAAUUUUCAAAUCUUACAAAUCGCUCGGAUCUGCUCUCAAUUGUUCGGAAUACCUCUGAAUCAUCCCAAAUCGCUAUCUAGUUUGUGUUAAUUGAAUUAUAUCUAUCAUAUUAUUUACAGGAUUGUAUUUUUAUGUAGAGAUAGUUGAACUUUAUGCUUCUAGGGUUCUAAUUGAAUUAUAUCAUUUGAUUCGAUGCAGAUUCAAUAUGAAAUGUUGAUUAUUGCUGGAUUUGGGUCAAGUUCCUAUACACAAGGUAAGAAAGGAAGGAGAGUUUGAAAUUUACUUAGAUCUAAUUGUUGAACUGUUUUUAGUUAUAUUAAGUUAAUUUACAUGCUUACUUUGUUACUUUUACGAAAAAUCGUGUUCAAUCUGUUUAAUAAUCUUUGUGUUUGUUGUUUACUUUUCUGCUAGAAGCAUUUGAAUACGAUUUUAUGAAUUUCUGCUCUUGGAUAUAAGAAAAUCGGAAACGAGGGGUGCUGAUGAAUUUCUCAAUUCGGUAAAUAAUAAAAAUGACUAUGACUGGUAUGUCGUACCUCUCAAUUCCCAUGAUCCAUAUAUUUUGUUCAUCAUGUUUAUCUUUACAGUAUUUUUUAGAAACAUGAUUGAUGGAGGUUUGGUGCUUUUGGUUGGACAUACAACGAUAGAUUUAUAGGUUAUGGUUCCUAGAGCAUUUUCUCAUGUAAAAGUCAUGGUUUGGUUGACGGUAGUAGAUGUUUAUUGAACACUGAAGUUGUCUUUAUGAAAUAAAGCAUUUUUUUCUCUUGUUCUGGUUCUUAGCUCCACGGGCUUCAUUUUCUAACUUGAAAUAUUAUUAUGUUAGUAUCUGAUAAUGUAUUUUAAACACAAGCACCAUUCUCCCAUUGAUCAUACUCACUAUAUCAUUCCUAAUGUUAUUUGCUUCUAUUUCCAUAUUAAACUAGUUGAUGUUUCAUAUAUAUAUAUGCAAAGAACAUGCAACACGAAUACCUAAAAUUAUCAUUACUAUUUGCUUCUCUUGUUCUGGUUUUUUUUUUUGUCUGCUACUAUUUGUGUGACUAGCAUGUGUUCCAAGUUAUUUUUUUUUUAUGAGAAUCGCGGAGCGGUAAGAACAAAACAAUUAGAGCCGAUGGUGGAUAUGGUGGAAAGACGCCACAAUCGGGGUGGGAAAACCGAUUGAUAAGUCGCGAGGACGCCACAACCGGCUAUGGAGGCUCCGGUUGACAAGUCAAAGGUUAGCACCACGGCAAGCCGAUAAGCUAAAAAUAGGGUUCAGAGAACCAAAGAGAAUAAAUCCCAUAUUUUUACUCAAUCCAAAAACUUCCUUUAUUUCAUAGAAGAACUUACAAUGUAUAGAGCUUCUUGCUAAGUAGCUCAAUAGUCCUAAUUAAUUCAAAUAAAACUUAUAAAUUAAAUUUAAUUAAAAAUAAAACAAAUAAAUGGCAUAUUAGCCUUACAAUUAUUUUUCUAAAAGAAACCACUUGUCCACGUGAGCUGCUUGAUCUUCUCAAAUUGCAAUGGAUGAUAAUUAAUGCCAUGAUAAGAUUGUGAGUUGCUCCAAGUAAAUGUGAUGAACCAAUUACUAUUAGCAAACGUAGAAAUAAUUGAUAUGAGUGGCUAUUGGCAACUUAUGAUAAUUAACUCUCCACUUAAUGUAUCAAAGAACCAAAAAGGCAUAAAAUAAUAGGCAAUGAAUUUUCAAGGCUAGUAAUAUUUUUAACAUGAAUUUGAACCAAUAUUGAAAUUAAUUGGUUCUUUUUAUUCCAAUAUUGAAUCAAUUCUUCUUGUAAGAGGAGAUCAUAUUAGGAUCACAUCAUUUUGACCAAUGUGAAUGCCCCUGUAUCUCAUUUCCAGUUUUCCACCAUUUUGCAGCAAUACCUUGAUAUUGCAAAAAGAUAUGAUCUCAUCCUGUGUCUCUUGCUAUAGGUUUGAUUUUCCUUUAUCUAUAUCAUGUGUGCAAACCAUGCUUUCCCCGAACUGGAGAUUACAAAUUACUAAUAAUAAUUACACUAAAAAGUGUACACGUGGAGAUAAAAUGACCAACACAUCACUGAAAAGUACUCCACAUAUUUUCCAAAUCCAUGUCCCAUGUUAAAUUACUAACUUUUAAUUCAACAAAAAGUACAUUUUUUAGCUAGAUUGAUGCCAAACUACUUAAAGUCUGCAUAGGAGACUCAGACUUGAGCAUGGCAUAGGGCUAAACUAUUCUAUACGAUAUAUAAUCUUAAUUGCAAUCAUAGUUUUCGACGUCUGUUCCAUUUCUUGCAUUUGGACGAGACUACUCACAUGAUUUGAUGUCUGAAGAUUGCUUGUGUGUAAAAUGCUUGUGAGUGCCUAAGUUGAACUAGUAGCAGUACUUUUAGUUUGCUCCAAACAUACUUCCAUGAUUUGAGUAUUUAUAACGAAUCAGUAUAUUGAGAAAGUGAAUAAAACAUCAAUGUUGGUUUCCAUACAUCUUAAGUGAUUAAAAAAUUCAUAUCUAACUGAAACAUCAAUGUUGAUUGAGAAAGUGAUUAAGAAACUCUGUUCCAUUUGCAAAAGGCAGCAGAUUUAGAAAUUGAGGCUUACCUGUUGCUGGAUGAACUGACAUUGAAGAUCAGUACUCUAUAUAGUGUAUUGUUUCAAGUCAAAGUUUAUAUAGUACUAAUCUAGUGUAUUGCUUCUUUCAAUUUUAUAGGAUAUAUUCCUUGUUGUAAUUGUUACAUUUUCUUGCAUCUUUAUCAAUUGCUUGUAAUAACAACAUAAAAGUUUGAUUUAUGCAGGUCUUCUUCUUUGGAACUAAAUGAGGCAUCAUUGGGUUGGAAAUAAAAGGUCCAAGCGCUCUCGGAUGAAUGUUUAUCAACACAUGAUCAAUCAUGGCUUUCUAAAAGGUUACAUUCGUUGGAUCUUUCAUGGUGAGAAAGUUAUCCCUUCCAACUCUCAAAGUACAUCUGAAGUAGAACAUGAGAUUUAUCAGUUAUCAUGACAUGGAUGCAUUGAUUCAGAAUUUCAUGAAUAUCCACAUGGAUUCUUGCAUGAAUUUUGGCUUUUACUUCAUGACGACAUUCUUUGUUUUUUUCAAUUCUGUGGCUUAUUAUUAUAACUGUGUUUUCAGAAUUCCAUGAAUAUCCCACAUGGCAUCUUGCAUGAAUUUUGGCUUUUACUUCAUGAUGAUGACAUGUAUAAUCCUAUGCUACAGAAGAAGCCACCCUCUAAUCAGGUGAUUAAUGGUUUUAUCACUUUUAUUUCUUAUCAUUUUCUGUGGAAUUUGCAUGAUGUUAAAGGAGGGAGCGUUUUUGAACAGAGGAUCUAAACAAUUUGGUUUUUGAAAUUUUAAGUACAAUAAGGAGUUGCUGUUACUCAAUGUUGUGUAAUUAAUUAUUUAGAGUUUCUUAAUUGUUAUCAUCGUUUAGGUUCCAAAUGCCUCUAUCUAGUGCCCCUUGCCAAACGAAUCAUCUUAAUCCAGACACUAAUGAAGAUGAUGGCACUUAUGAACAUGAACAAGAGGAAGAUUAGAAGCAUUUUUGUCUUGGAGUAAAAUUGAAACUCAAGUGGAUAAGAUCCAAGAUUUUUGUAAUUUUUUAGAAUUUUUUAUGACUUUACAUUUUCUUUUAAAUAUUACCUGAUACUUUUAGUACUUUUUUUUAGUUUUACAUGUUUGUAAGACUUGGUGAUAAAUGUUUAAAUAUGAUUGAAGGGUUCAUUUGAUUUUGUUUCAUAAA